GGGUGCUUGGCGCAAUGGUAGCGCGCGGUCCUCCUACACAGAGAAAGACUGAGGUUGAGGGUUCGAGUCCCUUGGUGCUCG
rnacentral:tRNA from 1 species